ACAAGGAUUCCCCUAGUAACGGCGAGUGAACCGGGAAGAGCUCAAAUUUGAAAUCUGGCGUGCUCAGUGCGUCCGAGUUGUAAUCUAUAGAGUCGUUUUCCGUGCCGGACUGUGUCCAAGUCCCUUGGAACAGGGUAUCAAAGAGGGUGAUAAUCCCGUACUUGACACAAUGACCGGUGCUCUGUGAUACGUCUUCUACGAGUCGAGUUGUUUGGGAAUGCAGCUCAAAAUGGGUGGUGAGUUCCAUCUAAAGCUAAAUAUUGGCGAGAGACCGAUAGCGAACAAGUACCGUGAGGGAAAGAUGAAAAGCACUUUGGAAAGAGAGUUAAACAGUACGUGAAAUUGUUAAAAGGGAAACGAUUGAAGUCAGUCGUGACUGAGAGGCUCAGCCGGUUCUGCCGGUGUAUUCCCCUCAGUCGGGUCAACAUCAGUUUUGUUCGGUGGAUAAGGGCAGUUGGAAGGUGGCACCCUCGGGUGUGUUAUAGCCAGCUGUCGCAUACAUCGGAUGAGACUGAGGAAUGCAGCUCGCCUUUAUGGCCGGGGUUCGCCCACGUUCGAGCUUAGGAUGUUGACAUAAUGGCUUUAAACGACCCGUCUUGAAACACGGACC
rnacentral:rRNA from 1 species